rnacentral:rRNA from 1 species
UAAACGAUAAACCACGAAUAUCUUACCUAUUUUAAGUUUGUAUACCGUCAUUAUCAGAUAAUUUUGAUAAAAUAAAUUAUUGAAAUUAAUUUAAUUAAUUAAAUUAGAUCAAGGUGCAGUUUAUAAAUAGGAAAAUAAUGGGUUACAAUAAAAAUAAUUUAGGACGGAUUUGUAUUAUGAAAUUACUUAGUAAAGGCGGAUUUAAUUGUAAUUUUGCUAAUUGCAGCAAUUUGAUAUAGGCUCUAAAAUAUGUACAUAUCGCCCGUCGCUCGCGGGAAAA